rnacentral:lncRNA from 1 species
AGUUUUAAAAAGUACGAACAAAGUUUAAACGCGUAGUUCUUCUUCGUUAAUAAGAAGUAUGUAUACAUAAACGCAUAGUGUAUAAUUAUAAAAAGAUACAGUUGCAUUGGUAUAUUUUAUAAAAUUAAUGGUUAAAGGGCUAUAAAAUAUAUUAUGCACAUUGGGUUGCGUGACAACAAUAUUGUUAUACUUUAAACCUAUGACCGAAGUCACGCAAUCAUAUGUUUAAUAAAUUACUCAAUCGAUACGCCACAUGCUAUAUGAAAUUCCAUUAUUUUGUUACCCAAGUCCAUUUCAAACAGUCGCGAGUCGGCGGAAACCAGCAGUAUGCAAGCGGUCGGCAUUCAGUUACCUGCAAAUUGUAUAUAAAAGCUUUUAAAAGACAUUUUUUAUUUAUUAAGACGUUCAAUGUUUAUCCACUGAUAAGGAUGGAAAACUUACAACAAGGAUCCAUGUAUUUUAUGUUCAAAUUUGGAGGAAAUUACUUAUUAAAUAACGUCAGAUAUGAUUAAACCAUCUGUUUAUGGAUGAUUUGCGUCUAUAAGGAAAAGCGGAAUCUCAUAAAACUGUCGAAUAUUGCCUCGAUGAAGUAAAACGUAUAAUAGUGUGCGCUGUACCAUUAAUUUAUAAUUGUUAUUAUUAUAUGUAUUUAAUAUAAUAUUAGUUUUCAUAAUCAAUGGUUGUACGUUUCGUCAGAUACGAUUAAAUAGAAAUCUAUGGCGCUCUGGCGGUAAUAGCCAAUUGAACCGUCAUGGGUGUUCACUGGUCAUUUAUCUUCACUGAAUGACCAAUUAACUGACCAUCGCCGUGAAAUACGUGGUCGUAUAUAAUAUGGUCGUUAACUUGUGGAAGGGCACUCUGAGAAAUUUUCGUUCAAAUAAGGCGUCGCGCAAUAAAAAAUAGUUUGGGAACCUCCGAUGUAUUUCUGUUUAAAAAUAACCAAUGAUAUGAUGGAACAAAUAUUAAGAGCUGUACUAAAAACUUAAUAACAUGUUGAAGAUAAUGGCGAAUAAUUGGAUAAAAUUGAAAGUUUUUUUUAUAUUUUUUGACAUCUCGCAGUAAAAAAAAAUCAACACAAAUUCUUAUGGAGUAGAAACUAUACAUUUUUAAAUUACUUAUAAAUAAAAAAUUACAAAGGAAUCUACUAAUGGAAUCUAUAUAUGCUAAAUUAUUGCCACACCUAUAAAAAUAUACGUUUUUCAUAUAUGCGGUCAUGUAUAUGACGGCGACGGUCAGUUAAUUGGUCAUUUAGCGAAGUUAAAUCACCAGUGAAAACCCGUGACGGUUCAAUCGGGUAUUACCGCCAUAAAACCAUAGAUUUCUAUUUGAUCGUAUCUGACGAGAAACGUACAAAUAUUGAUUAUGAAAACUAAUAUAUUAAACACAUAUAAUAAUUACAAUUAUAAAUAAAUGGUACAGCGCACACUAUUAUACGUUUUACUUUAUCGAGGCAAUAUUCGGCAAUUUUAUGGGAUUUCUCUUUCCUUAUAAACGCAAGUCACCCACAAAUAUUGGAAAAGCUUAGCAAUAGCUAAGAACUACGUUUUAGAAGAAAGCAAUGUCCGUCAUAAAUUAUAGAUUGAUACUCCUUCUCAUAUCUGUUAAUUGAGAUAUUUUUAUUACAAAAAUAAUAAUAGUUAAAGAUUUAAAUCAAUAUUGAAUGUUGUAUAAAUAUUAUGUAAAUUCACAUCAGAAUUUGUAGGAAGAUGCAUUAUUUUUACCUUAUUAUAGUUAUUGUUAAAUAUAACUUUCUUAACAAAAAGUGUGAAUUAAAUUUAAGUUAAUUUAA